rnacentral:rRNA from 1 species
AGAGUUUGAUCAUGGCUCAGAACGAACGUUAGCGGCGCGCCUAACACAUGCAAGUCGAACGCGACAGGGGCAACUCUGUUGAGUGGCGCACGGGUGAGUAACACGUAGGUAAUCUCCCCUCGAGUGGUGGAUAACCUUCCGAAAGGAGGGCUAAUACAGCAUAAGACCACGGUGUCGAAAGACGCUGAGGUCAAAGCGGAGGAUCGCAAGACUUCGCGCUUGAGGAUGAGCCUGCGGCCCAUCAGGUAGUUGGCGGGGUAAUGGCCCACCAAGCCUAAGACGGGUAGCUGGUCUGAGAGGAUGAUCAGCCACACUGGAACUGAGACACGGUCCAGACUCCUACGGGAGGCAGCAGUGGGGAAUCUUGCGCAAUGGACGAAAGUCUGACGCAGCGACGCCGCGUGGGUGAUGAAGGCCUUCGGGUUGUAAAGCCCUGUGGGGAGGGACGAAUAAGUUCCGGUUAAUACCCGGAGCGAUGACGGUACCUCCUUAGCAAGCACCGGCUAACUCUGUGCCAGCAGCCGCGGUAAGACAGAGGGUGCAAACGUUGUUCGGAAUUACUGGGCGUAAAGCGCGUGUAGGCGGCUAUGCAAGUCGGAUGUGAAAGCCCUCGGCUCAACCGGGGAAGUGCACCCGAAACUGCAAAGCUAGAGUCUCGGAGAGGAUCGUGGAAUUCUCGGUGUAGAGGUGAAAUUCGUAGAUAUCGAGAGGAACACCGGUGGCGAAGGCGGCGAUCUGGACGAUGACUGACGCUGAGACGCGAAAGCGUGGGGAGCAAACAGGAUUAGAUACCCUAGUAGUCC